GAGCUUUAAAACCAUUUGUGACUGACACAUUAUUGCUUUCCAGGAAGUGGUAGGGAUGACAAAAAAGCAUAUUCCAACAGGGCUUUGGAGAGGAUAAAGUCCAAGAAGUACUGAAACCAAGAGUCACUUAAAUUUUUAAGAAUCUUCAUUUUAAAGAUAAGUAGUAGUCCACAUAGGAAUGCAUGGUAUUCAAUGAUGAUUUCCUACAUUUAUUCAAGGGAUAGGAACAUGCUAUUGUGAUCAGAAAGAAAAAUCAAACAAAAAGAAGAGGCCAAAGGAAAGGAUAUGGUCAGAAAAAAAAAUCAAACAAAAAGAAGAAGGUGAUAAAGGAAAACAGACGAUAGUGGUUCCUAUCAAGAUCUUAGAGAAAGAGAACAUUAAGGGAGACAAAUUGGAGUGAUAUCCAACUAAUCAGAAGCUGGAUGUAGCUGAAGGACUUCUUGUUCUAAUUUAUCUGGCUGUGUCUUCACUGAGCGGAAGUAUGCUGACUGUUUUACAUGUGGUAGCUACAAAAAUCUCAUAAAAUGUAGAGCAGGAUGCCUAGAGGAAACUGAGGCUGAGAAAGAUGCAAUAACUUGCUGAAUAUCACAGAAACAAUACGUGAUUCAAAGACUCACAUACAGCCCUCUUCAUGAUUGCAGAAUCUCAACUUUCAACUAUACUGAUUCUCCACAAUGAUGCAUUUCUCGUUGUAAUUUAAUAUAACUCUACAAGGAGAACAUGGAAUGGGAAAAAUCUGACCAACAUUGCAUAAUAUGAUAAAAAUAACUCAUGAUUACCUUAAAAGAAGUACUGUAAUUAUGUAUGAUAGUGAGCAAGUUAUUUAAUAGCUAUUUUCAA
rnacentral:lncRNA from 1 species